rnacentral:rRNA from 1 species
UACGUAGGGUGCAAGCGUUAAUCGGAAUUACUGGGCGUAAAGCGUGCGCAGGCGGCUUUGCAAGACAGAUGUGAAAUCCCCGGGCUCAACCUGGGAACUGCAUUUGUGACUGCAUGGCUGGAGUGCGGCAGAGGGGGGAUGGAAUUCCGCGUGUAGCAGUGAAAUGCGUAGAGAUGUGGAGGAACACCGAUGGCGAAGGCAGCCCCCCUGGGUCAAGAUUGACGCUCGUGCACGAAAGCGUGGGGAGCAAACAGG